GUUUCUCUUUUGAGUUGCUAUAAAGUACAGACGAUUCUACCAACCUUGACACAAACGCCCAGCUGCCCCCAGUUCAGUGCCACAGAGAAAAGCCUUGCAGAACAGGUUGAGUUUGUGGAUGGGCAUGGGGUAGAAGGUAUCAUCUCUUCUCUAUCAAUGACUUGGGUGAUACUUCUGGCAACAAAACAGACAGUUCUCGGCCUCUGUGUUUUCAUUGUCCAACUGAAGAUUAGACAAGAGGCAGCAUGGGGUGGUGGAUAAAUCGUGGACCAGGAUUGAAGCGAAGAUCUGCUCAUCUGGGACACUCACCAGACGGAGUCUUGCUCUGUCGCCCAGGCUGGAGUACAGAAGUACAGUGGCGCGAUCUGCAACCUCCGUUUCCUGGGUUCAAGCAAUUCCCCUGUCUCAGCCUCCCGAGUAGCUGGGACUACAGACCCAUGCCAUCAUACCCAGAUAAUUUUUGUAUUUUUAGUAGAGACAAGGUUUCACCAUAUCAGUCAGGCUGGUCUCGAACUCCUGACCUCAGGUGAUCCCCCUGCCUUGGCCUCCCAAAGUGCUGGGAUGACAGGCGUAAGCCACCUCGCCUGGCCAGUUUAUCAAUUUCGUUAAGCUUUCCAAAUAAUCAAAUGUGUUGGUCCUGUUGAUUUUUCUCUUUCAUAUGUUCGCUUUCUAUUUUAUUAAUAUCUAUGUUUUUCUGUAUUCUUUCCAUUUAUUUACCUUCUUUUUGUAAUUAUCUGAGAUGAAUAAAUCUUGGCUUGGUAAUUAUAUAUAGAAUUACUAAGCUGAGAUUCAGAGAAGAGGGAUGAACCUGGAACUUGGAGCCACUUUUGCCCAGGAGAUAAUUUAUAUAUACAUGUAUAUAUAUUCAGUGUAUGUACACAUAAAUGAGGGCGGUUGGCUCUAAGCAACAAACACUCACCUCUGCAUAACUUAAGCACAAAAUAGCCACUCACAGAAUGGAAGGAAGGGCUGAAGAACCAGGUUUCAAAGAGAAUAGGUGCGAGGGCAGGCCAGGGAUCUGGGAAGCAGAAACUACUAUUUUUUUAUUGCUCUGUUCAAAAGUCAAAUUCCAAGAAGUGAGCAUCUGAUCUGUGUCAAGUGCCCACCUCUUGGCUAGGAGCAGGUAGGGCAGACUGCAUGCAGUGAGAAAGACUGGUUCCUCUGAAGCAAAUUCAGAGGCUAUUUAUCAGAAGAUUUGGGAAUGAAUAAUGGGCAGACAAAAAUAACAAAUGUUCACUGUAGAGAGAGAAAAAGAAAUACAGCAGGAGAGACACAGGAGCAAGGAAGCAGAAGAGAAAGAAAGAAAAGUGGAGAGAAAUUGGUAAAAUGAGGUGGGGUGGUUUGGAUGUGUGAGCCAUCCGAAAUGAGAGAAUGUGCCAACCAUCAAGAAAAAUCAUUGAAGCUCUUCCCCUAUCCAGGGACACAUAUGACUUUUGUCAGUCUUCAUGGGCCCCUUCCUCCAUUAAAAAUACUAAAAAUUGGCUGGGCGCAGUGGCUCAUGCCUGUAAUCCCUGCACUUUGGGAGGCCGAGGCGGGUGGAUCACGAGGUCAGGAGGUUGAGACCAUCCUGGCUAACAUGGUGAAGCCCCGUCUCUACUAAAAAUACAAAAAAUUAGCCGGAUGUGGUGGCAGGCGCCUGUAGCCCCAGCUACCUGGGAGGCUGAGGCAGGAGAAUGGCAUGAACCCGGGAGGCGGAGCUGCAGUGAGCCGAGAUCGCACCACUGCACUCCAGCCUGGGCGACGGAGCAAGACUCCGUCUCAAAAAAAAGAAAAAUUAAAAAUCAUAUUUUAUGACGGUAUUGGUAUAAAGACAAAUGUAAUUCAGACUGGAUUUAUUGUUAUGUAUCAUGAUUAUUAUAUUCAUGUUUUUCUUCUGAUCUUAAAAGGAAUCAAAAUUAAGACAUUUUUAUGAACCCCUAAAAGUAUCGUGGGCCCUAGAUGCUCUGCCUACUCCUUCUUCUCUUCUGUAAGAUGCAGCUUGCAUUGGCAUUUGCUGCCGUCUCCAUGCACGUCAGUCCAUCUUCCAGCUGCCAGCACCCAAAGCACUUUGCCCGAGAGCUCUCUCUGGCUGCUGGAGGCAGCUAUUUGACAUCCUUAUCCCACAGCUCUUAAACAAUAGGUAAUGGGAGAUGGUAUUUAAAUACCCCAAAUCCUUACCCCUCAGAGGCACAUGUUCUUCAUCAACUCCCAGAGGACCUAAGCAAGAUUAACCUCUAGUCCCCCAGUGUGGUAACUUGGUUAGUAUGAACUUCUGUUGGCUACUUUCCCUUUCCUGUUUCACUCCUCCACUGCCCUGCCAGUGGUUUCCGGGAUCUCCUCCCCUCAAAAAAACAUUCACACUCAAAUCCUUGUCUCAGUCUGCUGCUGGGAGAACUCAAACUGAGACACCACAGAGACAGUUCAGAUAUGAGUCCCUGUCCAAAUCUCAUGUUGAAUUGUAAUCCCCAGUAUUGGAGGUAGGGCCUGGUGCAGGUGAUUCAGUCAAAGGGGUGGAUGCAGGUGAUUAAGUCAAAGGGGUGGAUGCAGGUGAUUAAGUCAAAGGGGUGGAUGCAGGUGAUUAAGUCAAAGGGGUGGAUGCAGGUGAUUCAGUCAAAGGGGUGAAUUUCUCAUGAGUGGUUUAGCGCCAUCCCCUUGGUGCCAUCACUACUCGUGAUAGUGAGUGACUUCUUGCAAGAUCUGGCUAUUUAAAAGUGUGUGGCACCUCGCUCUCUCACUCUUGCUCCUGCUUUCACCAUGUGGCAUGCCUGCUCUGCCUUAGCCUUCUACCAUGAAGCUUCCUGAAACUUCUCUAGAAACCUAGCAGACAUUAGCACCAUGCUUCCUAUGAAGCCCGCAGAAGCAAUUAAACCUCUUUGUAAAUUACCCAGUCUCAGGUAUUUCUAUAUAGCAAUGCAAGAACAGCCUAACACAACUCCACUUCAGGUUAGCUUGCACUGGGGCAUGAGGAAACAAAGCUCUCUAAAAUAUCAGCCUUACAACCAAAUACAAAGGGCUAGUGACUUCACUCUGCAGAGAGGGGAAGGACAAAGAGUCUUCUACUAAUUAUUUUCUUACAGAGCUGUGACCUUGUUGGGAGGGGUAAUCUGGCCUUGAAUAUUUCCUUGGUUCACUGUUGUGAAAAUAUUAUUCCAGAAGUUUUUCUGGUCAUCGGACUUUCUUAGCCUGGCAUUUAUUCUUGUUUCAAUUUCAUAUGAAAACUUUAGUGUUGGCCAAAGAAUGCUGGACUAUUUAAUUCUAUCAAAGCCUGGUGAAAUCUUUCUUCCUGGUGUUUUGGCUGGCGGAGUUACUUAAUUUGUACAAACCAACAGCAACAGGGCAAAGCACUUUGACAAUAUAAAGGGUUAUGGAAGGAAUAAUUCACAUUAAUCAUCUGAGUUAUGCUUUCAUUUGCUUUAAUGUGGUGGAUUUGGCCAUGGGGGCAGUAGGUCUUAUGACUGCCCCUCAGAAUAAAAGUUUAAAGGAAUGUGUAUUUCUGGAAAAUCACUUUUCUGUAACACACCCAGAGUUCUUUUAAAGAUACUUUAGUUUGCAAAACUUCAAAUGAAGAGCCAUUAUUUACUUUAUAAUCCAAGGCAGAGCCAAUGGGAAACCCUGGGAGAGAAGAAGCUGGAGGAAUCAUACAUGUUUUCAUGGUGGAACUUUGCAACAAAUGUAAUUUAUUUUUUCUUUAAAAUAGUUCUUAUGGUUUUUCCCACAUUGUUACAUGGGCAAUUUUCAUCUCUGGUGUUCCUAAGGAGUCAGAUCACAAAACAGCAUAAUGCUUAACAACAUGAGCUUCAAACUCAGAAAGAUCUGGGUUUGAAUCCUACCACUUGUGUGUGACUUUGGACUGGUUACCUAACCUCUCUAUACCCCUGUAGACUGAAGAUAAUUAUUUUACCCUCCUCAUAUACACAUGAGGUUAGUGAGGGUAUAAAAAAUAAUGCACAACAGUACUUAGCAUGCACUGAAUGUAUUAUGUACUAACUAUUACUAUUUUUUGUUUCUUGAUCUUAGCCAAUGUUCCCUUAACCUGAAUCCCUCUAAUAACUUUUCUAGACACUCAUAACAUCCUCAGCAACUACCAAGCAGUUUCCACUCAAGGCCAGCGUGUCCUCUGCAUGGCUGAUCAUCUGGUGUAAGAUCUAGAGCUACAAAAUCCUGCCCACACCUUCGAGUCUCCUGGGAGCCUGAUCCCAAGCUUCUGUCCCCUUGUCCACCAUGUCAGACACUCUUUAGGAUUAGGUGACUAGGGUGGGACUUGGUCAAGUCUGGUGUUAUGAUCUCUAAAGGCCACUAAAAAGCUAACUGGCCACCUACAAGGGAUUUGAGGGCUUGCCUCAACCUUUUCGCCUUAGUGAAGGCAAGGUAAUUAGGUGACACAAUGAGCAGAGGCCUGGAGCACGGAGAGGCAAGAAAAGUAAACUUCAGUAGGGGAUACUGAGGGUACAUCAGAACCCCAAGACGUCCAAGGCAACCAGGGCACACAGGGAAAAGACGAGGGUAGGCCGUGGUCAGAGCUGUCCAGAUGAAGUCCAGAAGUGAGAUGGCCACCAGAGAUGAGUAUGAACUUUGACAUCCUCAACAGUCAACCCAGAUGACCCAGGAGCUCAAAGUAACAACCACAAAAAUAGUAACACAUUCUACUGGUCUUUUGCUUUAUCUCUGAUACGGUUUGGCUGUGUCCCCACCCAAAUCUUAUCUUGAACUGUAGCUCCCAUAAUUCCCAUGUGUCAUAGGAGGGACCUGGUGGGAGGUAAUUGAGUCAUGGAGCAGGUCUUUUCUGUGCUGUUCUCAUGAUAAUAAAUAAGUCUCACGAGAUCUGAUGGUUUUAAAAGGGCAGUUCCCCUGCACAUGCUCUUGCCUGCCACCAUGUAAGACAUUGGCUUUGCUCCUCAUUUGCCUUCCACCAUGACUGUGAGGCCUCCCCAGCCAUGUGGAACUGUGAGUCAAUCAAACUUCCUUUUUUUUUUUGAGAUGGAGUUUCGCUCCUGUUGCCCAGGCUGGAGUGCAAUGGCAAGAUCGCGGCUCACUGCAACCUCCGCCUCCCAGGUUCAAGCGAUUCUUCUGUCUCAGUCUCCCGAGUAGCUGGGAUUACAGGCAUGCACCACCAUGCCCAGCUAAUUUUGUAUUUUUAGUAGAGACAGAGUUUCUCCAUGUUGGUCAGGCUGGUCUCGAACUCCCGACCUCAGGUGAUCCGCCUGCCUCGGCCUCCCAAAGUGCUAGGAUUACAGGCGUGAGCCACCGCACCUGGCCAAACUUCUUUCCUUUGUAAGUUACCCAGUCUCAGGCAUGUCUUUAUUGACAGAGUGAGAACAAACUAAUAUAAUCUCCAUAUCUGGUAGAGUGCUAAGCAGUGGCUGCUUCAUGUAAUAGUCACCAACAUCCAUGUGUGUUUCUGGGGCAGAAGUGCCAAGGCAGAGCCCGCAGUCAGCAGUGGGAGAUCUGGGAAGAAGUCUCCACCUCAGCCCUUCCAUUCACAAGCUGAGCGACAAGGGCAAACCACACAGCCUCCUGAAUCUCAAUAGAUUCACUCUGCUGGGCAGUGGGGAGAGCCAAAUGAGGCAGGGCACAUGAGCUGCUCUGUAAACUUUACAGGGUCGUGCGAAUAAUAUGUGACUCAACUUACUGUGCUUAACCCAGGGUCUGGCACCUGUAGUAAGGUGUUAAUAUUGAAGUUUCCACAGACACAAUGAAACACAAUAGUGUGAAAUUCCAAAGCCAGAUCUCUCAUGCAAAAAUUAUAAGGAAAAUUGUGAGGAACUGGUUUCAUAACUUCUAAGUCCCCUCUUACCUACUCUGGGAAUACAAAAAGAGAGAGAGAGAAUGAGAGAAUUUUGAACAUGUGUGUGAGUAUGUCUGAUGUAUUCAUUUUUCAGAGAAAGCUGUGGUCAUGUCAUGAGGCUUCCCACUCCACCCAUGGGAAAGAGGGGCCCCAGGAGCUGAGGGGAGAUGCUGGAUCUCUAGGGGCUGUGGAAGAGCCCUCAACUGACUCCUGGAAGCGAGAAGCAUCUGUUAGGAUGAAGGGAACACCCAGUGAAGGGCCAACAGGAGACCUUCAAGGAGCCCCCAGAUGCUCCCUAAGAAAAAUGAUCAGCUCCAAACACCUGCCAUACCAAGAAAAAACAGAUCUAGUUCUAUUCACAAUCAAGCAGAUUUUUCCUGCUCCUACAUCUCCAUUCUCCCUCUGCAGCUACCCCUGACAGUCAGCAACUGUCCACCACGUUGGGCUCUGUACAGACUGAUGGUUCUGUAUUGUGAAUAUACUCUCCCCAGAGACACUGUUCAACUGCAGAAAUCUGCCCCUGUGCCUUUAGAAUUCACCAGCAUCCUGGGGUGAAAGAGAUCCAAGGGAAGUUUUACCUUUCUCUCUGCCUCUUGGCAGGCAACCUGGAACAAGUCUUGAUGCAUGAUCCCAAACCAGACUAGCUACAUAAUCUGUGGGGCCUAAGUAAGCACUUAUAGAGGAGUCCGGAAUGUGGCUGCCUUUGAGGGAGAUCUUCCUUAAACUGCACCCUUCACAGUGAAUUAAACAAGCAUCAGCCAGCAGUUCUCUUCUACCUCCUUCAAGCAGGAAACUAAGGCAAUGGGAGCUGACUAGUGGCCGUUGUAACAGGGGAAUUCUAUGAAUGCAAGAAAGUCUCAGCCCAGCAAUGUGGCCAUGGGUCCCAGAGGAAAAAAUUCCUUGGCAGGUAGUCUUCAUGUGAGAGCUCGGGACGGCUGGAACAUUUAUUUACCUGCAAUCAUGAGAACUGAAGAGUGACUCUCAGCUCACAAUAGCAUGGGCUGGUCCUGAGCUGUUCAGGAUUUUGUGGGCUGGGUGGUGUAAAUCCUGGCCAGAUUCUCCUGGGAGGCAGCCAUACCCCCCGUGGGCAGGAAAACCUCCUGAGAGACUAAACAGGGCAAGCUUUUAAAAAAACAAAAUAAUUAGUAGAAGGAAGAGUGAGCACUUUCAAGGGGUCCCCUUCGGGGUCCUCACGCCUUUAACCACCCCUCCCUUCUUGGCUCACUGGUGAGUGUCAGCCCAGCGGGGACACAAAGAGAUCCCAGCUACAUAUCAGCAGCUCGCAAAGCAGAAGAAAGGCUCUGGUGUCCGGGCUUACUCCUGUUCCUUCAUCGUCUUAGAAAUAGGGACUUGGAGGCAAACAGUCCCAUUACAAUGACGAAGACUACUCUCAACAUGAUGCACCCAAAUGAAUGCAUUUACCAGUUUGAUGUCUGCCUUUCUUCCUGGUUUGUUGCAUUCCGUAGAAGCAGAUCCUGAUAAGAUGAUGAAGUGCACAUGUCUCUUGAGAAAAUGCUCUCAGGAGAAGGGGGGAAGGUAAGCCAGGUGCAGCAGAGGACUGAGCAAGGUUGGGGUCUCAGCUGGACACUUCUUGGACCUGUUCCCACGGGAGCUCUGGAGUAUGAACUGUACCACAGAAUUGUCUCACCUAGAGGGAGAAGCUUACUGCUGUUUUCAUGGCUCUGCAUGCCCGGGGAAAGAGGAAGGCCACAGGAAGGUGACAGCUGAGGCAGGGUAUAACAGCAGGUCCCCAGGGUGGGUCAUUCACUGGGCUGACAAUCCAGUUGAUGCUUGCUUGGGUUGGGGCUCUGUGCUAAUUUGGAUGCUGACAGCCAGGUGACAGCAGCAGAGGGAAAGUAAGCUGAGAAGCAGAGAGGGGGAACCUUGAAAUGAUGCCUCUAAACGAUGGUUGACUUGUUUGUGACAUCACACCCCUAAGGCAUAGCUCUUUCCCCUGGGAGGGAUGCUGAGUGGCAAGUAGGCAGGCUGGGUACAUUUCCUUUUGGGAUGUGGUAGCGACAGUGUCCUACAGAGUCAGACUGGUGGCUUUAACAUCACAGGGCUUUGUCCAGCUGGAUCCGGAUAUCCAUUUGUCUAGAUUCCAUUUUCUCUGCUUCCUUUUUUAUUCCAGUAGAUAUAGCAGGCUUUCUCCCUGUAGCCAUGCAGAAGAGAUACAACUCAGAGGUGAUUCCUCUCAAAGGACAUAUUAGAUUCUUGAAGAGAGUCUAACAGGUUUAAGUGGGUCAGAUGCCAUGACUCAACAGCUUCCCCUUGAUCCUUUAAUCUCACAUCUGAAGCAUAAGACCUAUCCAGGUUACUUGGGGCAGCACCACCAUUGUACCAUUAAGGCUUCUCUUUCAGAAGGAUGAAUAAUCCAUCUGCAGCACUAUUUUACACUCUAGUUCAAUUCAAGACUCUGAAUAUGAUUUAUAAGUGUGAGUGAUUAUUUUAAGAUCAACCAGGGUUAAGCCAGGGAAAUUCUGUCCUCUGGUAGGGAGCCUCAAUGACCAGACCACUGUAAAGCCCCAGGAAUGCCAAGAACUCUGAAGAAGAAAGAUUCACCUCUAAGUGAGUUGGAGGAGGCAAAGACAAAAAACAAAAAACAAACAGUACAGGCCUUAGACUAAGGAGUGUGGGAAUGAGUUUCACCUCCAUUUCCAGCAACUGCCACGCAUAGAGUCUCUUCCAAAAAUGCCGGUGGCCUCAAAGAAGAGACAGCUGCUUCCCCAGCCCCUCAUUCAUCACCUGCUUGCUGGCCUAGGACUGAUAAGACAGAUCCAGAUCAAAUUACCUGGCAGCUGGGAGAGCAAGGAGAUAAGGAAAGGCAAGCUUAGGAGAAGUUCAGUAGAGUAGCAAAGAUCAAAUUGUGUAUUAAAUUUUCCAGGAACUAAAACCUUGCUCCCUCUGCAAACCCAGGGGAGGCACCUCCAAUCAGUCAGCACCAAACAGUGUUCCCAGGAGAAAAGCAAUGCCUUCAGCUUCUACUAGGAAUUAAGAAAACAGAGUACUGAGACCAAUUUAUUAUCACGCAGUUGGAUGAUAGGAAAAUGAAAACAAAGGUUAGAGGUGAACAUUAUAGAGGAGCCGAGUGGCCAAUGGCCAGAGAAACUUCAGGCAACAGAAGGAACACUGGGCUGAGCAAAAGACUUGGAUUCUUGUUCUAGCUCCAUCUCUCUCCCUUUGAAAAUGCACUUGAACCCCUCUGGGCUUUAUUUUUUUUUAUUUAUUUAUUUAUUUAUUUAUUUAUUUAUUUAUUUAUUUAUUUAUAAAAUGGUGGGGUGAGGAUUUCUUCAAGCUAAGAUCUUCCUGGCUUGAAGCUCUUAAAAUUUCUUGUUACUGCAGUCUUCCUAAGACAUUCCAUCUGAUGGUUUAUUCUUUUGACUCUGCCAUUUUACUCAACUAAACCUCAAAAUUCUUGACUAUGGAAGCCUCCAGAGGUGUUGUUAAAGCUUUAACUCUUUCAUUAAAAGCCAUGUGACUUGCUUUAUCCAAUGGGAGGUUAGUAGAUGUGACACAAACAAAUGCUCGAAAGAGUACUUGCAUGUUUCCAUUUACGUUUCUGUUCUUGCCUUCUGUCAUCACCAUGACAACAUGCCCAGUCUGGCUCCUGGAGGAUGGGACACACAACGUGGGAACCGGCAAGUCACCAGAGUCAUCUCAGCCAAGAUCAACCAAUAGUCAAUUACCAGGAACGUGAGAGAAUUCUGAGACCAGGACUGCUCAGCCACCUCUGCCUAAAAUACCAACACACAGAACAGUAAAGUGAAUGGAUGUUUAUUAUCCUAAGCCACUAUAUUUUGAGAUUGUACCUCAUGCAGCACUAUUAUGACCAUAGGUGACUGAUAUAAAAAGUAAGGAAUUAUGAAUCAUAAGAAAAAGAUGAACCAAGGAAAGAAUCAGCUUUGAAGAGGUGGUAAACUAUGGGAGUUGGGUAUGCUUUUCUGCAAUGAUCUUGUCUUAUUUUCUUUUUUUUUAAAGGAAGGCCUACCUGAAUAAUUCUGUGCAGGAAGAUAAAAGCAAGAUUAGAGUGAGACCUAUUCAGGGAGGUGUCAUUUUGUGAGCAGUUCAUGACCAUACCCAAUAAUCAGGGUCUGUCUACAUAUCUGAAUUUUAAUCCUUACAUAUAUGGCCUUAGAUGAACUAAAAUAAUUAUAAGAAGUUGUGUCAUUGUAGACUUCUAUUAAUAAACAUAUACCUACAUAUAUACAUGUUUAUGCACAAGAAUCAGCCUGUAUAGGCAUAUUUACCUAGGCAUAUUCAUUGCAUAGUGCUCUCAUGGUUGUGACUUGGGUGGGUGUAGCAAAGUGACAGGCCAGGAUCUCACCACAUAGGAAGAACUUUGGUCUGGCCAAGACAGGGCCAGCUAGUGGCCUCCCUGCCAUUAGCUCUGUCUGCCACCCAAGACAGAAGAAGCCAACAGUCCAAAGGGACAUAGCAGCUUCAUUUUGGUUCUAGUUAGUGGUGCCAUAGAAGAGGAACAGGCAGAUAGGAUCUCAUCUAGGCCAUGAGACAAGCAAGAGUUCUCAAGAAGGGUAGACUCUUAGAAACAGGAGGCCAGUGAGACAUGGAUCUAAGAGGCAUAGCCAGGUAGAAGCAGCCCUAGUCAAUGGCUAGAAGUAUAAUAUCCCAAUAAAAGAGGCAUUCUUAGAAAGCUGGGCAGCAUCUCAGGACCAC
rnacentral:lncRNA from 1 species